rnacentral:lncRNA from 1 species
CGGAUGUAGUCAUCAGCACCGUCAACCGCUAUUCGAUAAGUUAGCAUUCGCAUUGCAACGGUCAUCUUUUGCAACAGAUGCAACCCAAUAAGUCCACAAGCACUUCUUGUUUGUGUAAAAUAACCAUCAUGAUCAUGUUGAAGUAUAGUUUUAGCUAUGCGAUUAAACAAAUUACAAGACAUCCUAAACCUGUGCGUACAAAUGAAAAUGAGAUGGGAAGGUGGAAAAUAUGCAAACAUAUAGUAAUGUACUAAUUAUGAACCUUCGCCGAAAUAAAUUUACGGGAUAGCGAGGAUUUUCACUUAAGUAGUCAUUCCAGAGUAGAAAAAAUCCCGCAUCUCCUCCUCGAUUGAUCAUCUGAUGUCCAUGCUUGGAA